GCGAACGUAGUCUAGCCUGGUAGGACUUUGGCUUGCCAAGUCAAGAGCCCGGGUUCAAAUCCCGGCGUUCGCA
rnacentral:tRNA from 1 species